rnacentral:rRNA from 1 species
UACAGAGGUCCCGAGCGUUGUUCGGAUUUACUGGGCGUAAAGGGUGUGUAGGAGGUUGUGUAAGUCGGACGUGAAAUCCCAUCGCUUAACGAUGGAACUGCGUUCGAUACUGCGCAGCUAGAGGAUCAGAGAGGAAAGCGGAAUUCCAGGUGUAGCGGUGAAAUGCGUAGAUAUCUGGAGGAACACCAGCGGCGAAAGCGGCUUUCUGGAAGAUUCCUGACUCUGAAACACGAAAGCCAGGGGAGCAAACGGG